GAUGAACGCUGGCGGCGUGCCUAAUACAUGCAAGUCGAGCGAACGGACGAGAAGCUUGCUUCUCUGAUGUUAGCGGCGGACGGGUGAGUAACACGUGGAUAACCUACCUAUAAGACUGGGAUAACUUCGGGAAACCGGAGCUAAUACCGGAUAAUAUUUUGAACCGCAUGGUUCAAAAGUGAAAGACGGUCUUGCUGUCACUUAUAGAUGGAUCCGCGCUGCAUUAGCUAGUUGGUAAGGUAACGGCUUACCAAGGCAACGAUGCAUAGCCGACCUGAGAGGGUGAUCGGCCACACUGGAACUGAGACACGGUCCAGACUCCUACGGGAGGCAGCAGUAGAGAAUCUUCCGCAAUGGGCGAAAGCCUGACGGAGCAACGCCGCGUGAGUGAUGAAGGUCUUCGGAUCGUAAAACUCUGUUAUUAGGGAAGAACAUAUGUGUAAGUAACUGUGCACAUCUUGACGGUACCUAAUCAGAAAGCCACGGCUAACUACGUG
rnacentral:rRNA from 1 species